CUUGGAUCAUAUGACCAUCGUCAUGAUCCUCAGUAGUCUUAUCAUCUUCGUCAUCCGAUUCCUGAUUCGCAAGAACCCAAAAACGACCUCCAAACUAAAUAGAACGAGAAGUGAGAUCAAUACAUACCUUAUCCUCCUGACUGUCGAUGUGUUGUUCAUAUAACAAGUCACCAACACAGCAUUGAAACCCAUCUAUCUCCAAGCAUUGUCCAAUCUUCGGGCUUUCAGAUUCUUGCAGAUAUAGACCCGCCAAGAUGUCAUUGUCUACAUCCCUAAUAGUAAUCCAACGAGAUACCUGAUGUAGAUGCAGAGAACCAAAUCGCUGCACUCGGGAAGCAGUCGUGGUAUCUUCGAAAGAGGCCGCCCAUUUCAGAUGCGUCGGUGACGAGUGUAGAUAUUAAUCAUGUUGCUCAUGCAGGAUUAGGAAAGAAAGCCAAACCGAGUCUUAGUAGUAUUAGGAUUCCUAGUCCUAGUCUAUUUCUAU
rnacentral:lncRNA from 1 species